GAGGGGUCAAUCACAUCUUGAUCUACGCAUAAACUUUGUAAGUACUUGACUAUACCCAGUAGCCUUCCUUCACUACAUUAGAAAUGCAGAUAGUCUGGCAUCAAAGUAUAGUGGGUUGCUUGCAAGUCACUAUGAUGAUCUCAGAUCUGAGGGAUACUUGUGCCCAUACGCUUCGCGAGCUAUUCUUGACAGCAGAGUGCUCAGCAAGUG
rnacentral:lncRNA from 1 species